rnacentral:rRNA from 1 species
UGGGGAAUAUUGCGCAAUGGGGGAAACCCUGACGCAGCGACGCCGCGUGGGUGAUGAAGGCCUUCGGGUCGUAAAGCCCUGUCGUAGGGAAAGAACUGGUUGCAGGCUAAUAUCCUGCAGCCUUGACGGUACCCUACAAGAAAGCACCGGCUAACUCCGUGCCAGCAGCCGCGGUAAUACGGAGGGUGCAAGCGUUGUUCGGAAUUACUGGGCGUAAAGAGCGUGUAGGCGGCUGACCAAGUCCGGUGUGAAAGCCCGGGGCUUACCCCCGGAAGUGCGCCUGAAACUGAUUAGCUUGAGUACGAGAGAGGAGGACGGAAUUCCCAGUGUAGAGGUGAAAUUCGUAGAUAUUGGGAGGAACACCGGUGGCGAAAGCGGUUCUCUGGAUCGAUACUGACGCUAAGACGCGAAAGCGUGGGGAGCAAACAGGAUUAGAUACCCAUGUAGUCCCUGAGCGGGCUGGCAAGGCGCAU